AGCGGCGGACGGGUGAGUAACACGUGAGUAACCUGCCUUAGACAUUGGGAUAGCCUCGGGAAACCGGGAUUAAUACCAAAUAAAAUCAUAAUGACACAUGUCAUAACGAUCAAAACUCCGGUGGUCUAAGAUGGACUCGCGUCCCAUUAGCUAGUUGGUAGAGUAAAAGCCUACCAAGGCGACGAUGGGUAGCCGGCCUGAGAGGGUGAUCGGCCACAUUGGGACUGAGAUACGGCCCAG
rnacentral:rRNA from 1 species